rnacentral:tRNA from 1 species
GCCGCUCUAGCCCAAUCCGGCAGAGGCAACCGGCUCAAACCCGGCACAGUCCGAGUUCGAAUCUCGGGAGCGGCA